AGAUUGAACGCUGGCGGCAUGCCUUACACAUGCAAGUCGAACGGCAGCACGGGAGCAAUCCUGGUGGCGAGUGGCGAACGGGUGAGUAAUAUAUCGGAACGUGCCCAGUCGUGGGGGAUAACGUAGAGAAAUUUACGCUAAUACCGCAUACGAUCCAAGGAUGAAAGCGGGGGACCGUAAGGCCUCGCGCGACUGGAGCGGCUGAUAUCAGAUUAGCUUGUUGGUGAGGUAAAAGCUCACCAAGGCGACGAUCUGUAGCUGGUUUGAGAGAACGACCAGCCACACUGGGACUGAGACACGGCCCAGACUCCUACGGGAGGCAGCAGUGGGAAUUUUGGACGAUGGGCGAAAGCCUGAUCCAGCAAUGCCGCGUGCAGGGAAGAAGGCCUUCGGUUGUAAACUGCUUUUUGUACGGAGACGAAAGUCGUGCCCUAAUACCGGCGGACCCGAUCGGACGUACCGUAAGAACUAAGCCACCGGACUAACUACGU
rnacentral:rRNA from 1 species